rnacentral:rRNA from 1 species
GGACUACUGGGGUAUCUAAUCCCAUUCGCUCCCCUGGCUUUCGUUCCUCAGUGUCAGUUAUGGCCCAGCAAGCCGCCUACGCCACCGGUGUUCUUCCCAAUAUCUACGCAUUUCACCGCUACACUGGGAAUUCCGCUUGCCUCUACCAUACUCUAGUCUGCCAGUAUCCGAUGCACUCCCGAGGUUGAGCCUCGAUCUUUAACAUCAGACUUAACAAACCACCUACGAACUCUUUACGCCCAAUAAAUCCGGACAACGCUUGCAUCCUACGUCUUACCGCGGCUGCUGGCAC